CACGUAGGGCGCAAGCGUUGUCCGGAAUUAUUGGGCGUAAAGAGCUCGUAGGCGGUCUGUUACGUCCGCUGUGAAAACUCGGGGCUUAACCCCGAGCCUGCAGUGGAUACGGGCAGACUAGAGGUAGGUAGGGGAGAAUGGAAUUCCCGGUGUAGCGGUGAAAUGCGCAGAUAUCGGGAGGAACACCGGUGGCGAAGGCGGUUCUCUGGGCCUUACCUGACGCUGAGGAGCGAAAGCGUGGGGAGCGAACAGG
rnacentral:rRNA from 1 species